GCGCCAGGGUUAAACGCCAUGCCGGCACGAUCGGCUGCGCUAGUGUAGUUCCGACGAUUGGCGCAACGCGACGCGCGUAACGUAACGCACCCGGUUUCCCGUUAUCGGCUACGCAUUGCGCUUUUUCGAAAACGAAUCCGAAAACGAAUCCUUUCUGUGGGGCGGGUCCCGGUUAUCCUUCCGACUUGCGACCCUGCGAGUGAAUCGUGCGCGUGCACGUAUUAUCGAUUAGAACGGCGCUCACGGCAGUGAAAUCAUAGGUAUUGCAGUGCUAGAUGGGUUUUCUUUCCUUCAUACACCGAUGUUCGUAUGAAACCACUCAAACAAAGUCACGUACACACACGCACACACGUGCUAGAUGAAGGCAUAAAAACCCCCACGGAAAGAAAAACUCAACGAAUAAAAUAGAAACCAAAAAAACCACAUCCCCAGAGUGUACCGUCGUCGGGUUUUUUGGGGAAAAAUUCGAAUAAAGUGCAACAACCAAAAAAAAAAAAACGAGCAAAAUAACGAAGCAUCUUUUCGCAUUUACAACAGCGAAAAAGCA